CGCGCCGCCGUCAAAGCGCCCAGAGAGACAGGCUAGCGGCCGAGGGCGAGAGCAGCCUUCCUCCCGUGCCGCACCCAGCGCUCGGUCCUGGACCCCCCUCCCGCCGCACAUCUCCCUCCUCCCCCAUUUGUCUCAUCCAGUCUCCCCGCAACCCAAGGCGCGUGCGCAUAAGCCCCUGCGGUUUGGGGGCAUCCCCAUCAGCUUUAAACUCUGGCGUUGGAGCGCGCUGAGGGUGUGGGAUGGGCUCAGCCCGCUGGAGAGGUGCCAUUUCGGUGUAGCGACACCAUAAACCCAAAGCACGUGGCGCACUCAGCCCUGACCGCGGGGACACCGCCGGCUUUCCCUCCUUGAUAAUUCCCGUUCUUGGGCAUCGUUUGGGACCGCUGCGACAGUGACGUCAACGGACCUCGCGGGCCCCAUCCUCCCUACUACGUCACUGCCAGUCCCUUGGCGGGGCCAAGCUCCAGCGCUCCCUUGACAGCUUUUCAUAUUUUUAGAAAACGAGAGAAGGUAAAGAACUCUUCACCAGUUUGGUAAGCUGGAUAUGUCAUUUGCAUGUUCAUAUUGUCACAUUUCUCCCCAAGCUGUCAAAGCUUUUCAGCAGGAACUAUUUCUAAUGCUUUCCAUCCUAUGAUACUUCAGACUGAACAAGCUCUUCCCUGCUGGAAAAGUUGUUGAUGUGGCUAACUUCUUAGUUGCAAUGACUGACCAUGAGCGAGGUGGCAAGCAUUGGAAAGUACUAGAUACUCUCCAACUGAUGAUGAGAUCCGGUACCACAUGCGUGUGAUUGGAUAAAUGGAUGAAAGUCUAUGAGACCUUUUAUCAUCUUUCUGUGGCAUCUCUUUUAUAUUUAAACUUUAUGUCUCCUUUGUAUUCUUCUUCUUUGCUCUUCAUUGUUAAAAGAAAUAUAACCCCCACUGUGAUCUUGU